AUUGAACGCUGGCGGCAGGCCUAACACAUGCAAGUCAAACGGUAACAGGAAGAAGCUUGCUUCUUUGCUGACGAGUGGCGGACGGGUGAGUAAUGUCUGGGAAACUGCCUGAUGGAGGGGGAUAACUACUGGAAACGGUAGCUAAUACCGCAUAACGUCGCAAGACCAAAGAGGGGGACCUUCGGGCCUCUUGCCAUCGGAUGUGCCCAAAUGGGUCUAGCUAGUAGGUGGGGUAACGGCUCACCUAGUCGACGAUCCCUAGCUGGUCUGAGAGGAUGACCAGCCACACUGGAACUGAGACACGGUCCAGACUCUUACGGGAGGCAGCAGUGGGGAAUAUUGCACAAUGGGCGCAAGCCUGAUGCAGCCAUGCCGCGUGUAUGAAGAAGGCCUUCGGGUUGUAAAGUACUUUCAGCGGGGAGGAAGGGAGUAAAGUUAAUACCUUCGCUCAUUGACGUUACCCGCAGAAGAAGCACCGGCUAACUCCGUG
rnacentral:rRNA from 1 species